rnacentral:rRNA from 1 species
UACGAACGCUGGCGGCGCGCCUUACGCAUGCAAGUCGCACGGACCUUCGGGUUAGUGGCGGACGGCUGAGCAACGCGUAGGUAACCUAUCCAGUGGUGGGGGACAACUCGCCGAAAGGCGAGCUAAUACCGCAUGUGUUCCCGGUGUGAGAUCCACCGGGAGGAAAGCCUUCGGGCGCCACUUGAGGGGCCUGCGUCCUAUCAGGUAGUUGGUGGGGUAACGGCCUACCAAGCCUGUGACGGGUAGCUGGUCUGAGAGGACGACCAGCCAGAAGGGGACUGAGACACGGCCCCUACUCCUACGGGAGGCAGCAGCGAGGAAUCUUGGGCAAUGGGCGAAAGCCUGACCCUGCGACGCCGCGUGAGGGAUGAAGGCCUUCGGGUCGUAAACCUCUUUUGUGAGGGAAGAAGUUCUGACGGUACCUCACGAAUAAGCCACGGCUAACUACGUGCCAGCAGCCGCGGUAAUACGUAGGUGGCAAGCGUUGUCCGGAUUUACUGGGCGUAAAGGGCUUGUAGGCGGUUCGUUAAGUCC